UACGUAGGUGGCAAGCGUUGUCCGGAUUUACUGGGCGUAAAGGAUGCGUAGGCGGACAUUUAAGUCAGAUGUGAAAUACCCGAGCUUAACUUGGGUGCUGCAUUUGAAACUGGGUGUCUAGAGUGCAGGAGAGGUAAGUGGAAUCCUAGUGUAGCGGUGAAAUGCGUAGAGAUUAGGAAGAACACCAGUGGCGAAGGCGACUUACUGGACUGUAACUGACGCUGAGGCAUGAAAGCGUGGGGAGCAAACAGGG
rnacentral:rRNA from 1 species